GCGAGCGUAGUUCAAUGGUAGAACAGGAGCUUCCCAAGCUUCUGACGCGGGUUCGAUUCCCGUCGCUCGCUCCA
rnacentral:tRNA from 1 species